rnacentral:rRNA from 1 species
AUUGAACGCUGGCGGCAUGCCUUACACAUGCAAGUCGAACGGCAGCACGGGGCAACCUGGUGGCGAGUGGCGAACGGGUGAGUAAUGCAUCGGAACGUACCUUUCAGUGGGGGAUAACGUAGCGAAAGUUACGCUAAUACCGCAUAUUCUGUGAGCAGGAAAGCAGGGGAUCGCAAGACCUUGCGCUGAUUGAGCGGCCGAUGUCAGAUUAGCUAGUUGGUGAGGUAAAGGCUCACCAAGGCGACGAUCUGUAGCGGGUCUGAGAGGAUGAUCCGCCACACUGGAACUGAGACACGGUCAGACUCCUACGGGAGGCAGCAGUGGGGAAUUUUGGACAAUGGGGGCAACCCUGAUCCAGCCAUGCCGCGUGAGUGAAGAAGGCCUUCGGGUUGUAAAGCUCUUUCGGCCGGGAAGAAAUCGCACAGGCUAAUACCUUGUGUGGAUGACGGUACCGGAAUAAGAAGCACCGGCUAACUACGUGCCAGCCGCCGCAGUAAGAC